rnacentral:rRNA from 1 species
AGAGAAUAGAUACCCAGGUAGUCCCAGCUGUAAACGAUGCAGACUCGGUGAUGGACUAGCUUAAAUGCUAGUCCAGUGCCGCAGGGAAGCCGUUAAGUCUGCCGCCUGGGUAGUACGGUCGCAAGACUGAAACUUAAAGGAAUUGGCGGGGAGCACCACAAGGGGUGAAGCCUGCGGUUCAAUUGGAGUCAACGCCGGGAAUCUUACCGGGGGCGACAGCAGAGUGAAGGUCAAGCUGAAGACUUUACUAGACAAGCUGAGAGGAGGUGCAUGGCCGUCGCCAGCUCGUGCCGUGAGGUGUCCUGUUAAGUCAGGUAACGAGCGAGACCCCUGCUUCUAGUUGCUACUUUUAUUCUUCGGAGUAGAGGGGCUAAUUAGAAGGACUGCCGCCGCUAAGGCGGAGGAAGGAGGGGGCUACGGCAGGUCAGUAUGCCCCGAAACCCUCGGGCACACGCGGGCUGCAAUGGUAAGUACAAUAGGUUCCGAUUCCGAAAGGAGAGGCAAUCCCGUAAAACUUACCACAGUUAUGAUUGAGGGCUGAAACUCGU